CAGUCGCCGCGGUAAUACGUAGGUGGCAAGCGUUGUCCGGAAUUAUUGGGCGUAAAGGGCUCGCAGGCGGUUUCUUAAGUCUGAUGUGAAAGCCCCCGGCUCAACCGGGGAGGGUCAUUGGAAACUGGAAACUUGAGUGCAGAAGAGGAGAGUGGAAUUCCACGUGUAGCGGUGAAAUGCGUAGAGAUGUGGAGGAACACCAGUGGCGAAGGCGACUCUCUGGUCUGUAACUGACACUGAGAGACGAAAGCUAGGGGAGCAAAUGGGAUUAGAUACCCCUGUAGUCCCUGUCUCUUAUACA
rnacentral:rRNA from 1 species